rnacentral:rRNA from 1 species
CGUGUAGGCGGCCUGAUAUGUCAGAUGUGAAAGCCCCGGGCUUAACCCGGGAAGUGCAUUUGAAACUGUCAGGCUCGAGUAGGGGAGAGGGAAGUGGAAUUCCUGGUGUAGAGGUGAAAUUCGUAGAUAUCAGGAGGAACACCGGUGGCGAAGGCGACUUCCUGGCCCUAUACUGACGCUGAGACGCGAGAGCGUGGGUAGCAAACA